rnacentral:pre_miRNA from 8 species
CCAGCUCUUACCAGGUGGCGUUAAUAUCUCGCUGGGGCCUCCAUUAUGUUGUACCCAGGCAAGUUAGAGAAAACACCACACUUCGAGCUGAAUUAAGAGUCCUUCAUUAG